CGGCAUUCCAUUAAGUGUCAGGAUUCCGGCAUAAGCAGUUUUAUAGCUGGGAUCCAGACCGCCAGGAUUCUGACCGGAUCCCAUUAUGUGCAACUUCCCAACUGCUCUCUUUAGAAGAGUAGCGCAGAAGUCACCAGUAUCUCCACUUGCGGCCAAUUGCUUAUAACCGGGUGACACAACUGGGAACUGGCGCUCAGCAUAAGCUUGCCGUGAGGUGGAAUUGCGUCCUAUAUAGAGGACAAUGGUGGGAAAACGAGGGAGAUUUUGCUGAGUAAAGUCAGGAAGAAGCCGCUGAGAAAUGCAGAACUGACCAUUUAUCAUAAUCUGUGUCCUGCAGGGAUUCCUCAGUAAUGUCUAGCUGAUGUUCUUAAAGGAAAUGCACCAGAUUACUUCCAUCGUCCAUUGUAUGAUGUUUAUUACUAUGAAGUAC